UAAAUACUCAUGUACUUGAAGGCUUUUAGCAUCAACCGCAAAUCAAAGUUUGAAUUUCUCAAUUAGUCUCUCUUACUUCUUCCUCCUAUAUUUCAACAAAGUAUUAUAUUCAGGUAGCCUAUCUCUUCAUUUUCUCUAACAAAAAUAAAUCAAAUCUAAUUGAUCAUUUUGCCAUUUGUAGGUUGAUUUGUAUAUUCAAAUUCUUCUUU
rnacentral:lncRNA from 1 species